CUUUAAGGGUUACAAUAUAAUGAACUUUCGAUGUAGUGACACUAUGGAGAAGCAGAUGCUUAGAGUAUAAGGGGUGAAUAGAAUUGAAGAGGAGGGCAAUGGAAGAGUGGGGUGAGGAAGAGAUGUAAGCUCAAAGAGGAAGGUGAUGGCAUGAUUGUUAGGAGAUAAGGUGUAGGUAGAUUGGGAGAGGAGGGCAUUAGGAUGGCAAAUAAGGAUUUUAGAAUUAGGAUUUUUCUUUUUGGUCA
rnacentral:lncRNA from 1 species